AUGGGUUUCAUUUUUUGUUCAUUCUUUUCCUCUGUUUAUGCAAAGUUUAGGACUUUUUGUUUGUUAUCUCUAAGAGGACAUAGGCAAAGCUGAAAGGGCUUACUUGCUGCAAUUCGUGAUGGUGGAAGUAUGGUGGUCCGUUCUUGGGGCUGCUAUCCCCGCGGUUAUAGCGGGACAGGCUUUUAGAAUGAAGAAAAGGCAUGUUGAAGAACAGAGAAGUAAGACUGCCAGGGAAAGGGAGAAGAGUUCUGACGAAAAUUUUGUUUGUGAGAGAGUCUGCACUUCAAAGAGAAUGCUGAAAAAGGUUGGGGCGUUUUCGAAAGAUCCAAUUUCCGACACGUGUGUAACUGUAUGUGGUGUGUCUGAGCCCGAUGUAUGCUCCGAUGCUUGUGCCCGCACUGUUUGUGUCAACCAACAUCAGAAUUCAAUAUUUCUCUUAGCACAUUUUUCUCUUAGGUUUUGCACACCAAAACGUCUAGAACAUGGCGUUUAAUUAAAGCUAGUCAGUGACUCCUGUCUCAGUUUCAUUAGUUGGUCUCAAAGUAGUGAACCUUAGCGAGUCCAUUUUAAAUUCAAUAUUUUGGGUGAUUGUUAGAAUGGAAUUUUUCUUUGCAAUUGAUGAUUAAAUGUUGUUUAACCUUGUUUUCUAC